rnacentral:rRNA from 1 species
UACAGAGGUCUCAAGCGUUGUUCGGAUUCAUUGGGCGUAAAGGGUGCGUAGGUGGCGAGGUUAGUCAGGUGUGAAAUCUCGGGGCUCAACCCCGAAACUGCACUUGAUACUGCCUUGCUAGAGUACUGGAGAGGAGAUUGGAAUUUACGGUGUAGCAGUGAAAUGCGCAGAUAUCAGGAGGAACACCGGUGGCGAAGGCGGUUCUCUGGGCCUUACCUGACGCUGAGGAGCGAAAGCGUGGGGAGCGAACAGG